AGCGAACGCUAGCGGCGGGCCUAACACAUGCAAGUCGAGCGCAUACCUUCGGGUAUGAGCGGCGGACGGGUGAGUAACGCGUAGGUCAUCUACCCUUUGGUGUGGGAUAACCCAGGGAAACUUGGGCUAAUACCGCACGAGGUCCACGGAUCAAAGCCUUCGGGCGCCAGAGGAUGAGCCUGCGUCGCAUUACCUAGUUGGCGGGGUAACGGCCCACCAAGGGGACGAUGCGUAGCUGGUCUGAGAGGAUGAUCAGCCACACUGGGACUGAGACACGGCCCAGACUCCUACGGGAGGCAGCAGUGGGGAAUAUUGCGCAAUGGGGGAAACCCUGACGCAGCCACGCCGCGUGGGUGAUGAAGGCCUUCGGGUUGUAAAGCCCUGUCGGGAGGGACGGAAUUCUUGACGGUACCUCCAAAGAAAGCACCGGCUAACUCCGUGCCAGCAGCCGCGGUAAU
rnacentral:rRNA from 1 species